rnacentral:rRNA from 1 species
GACCUCAAAUCAGGUAGGACUACCCGCUGAACUUAAGCAUAUCAAUAAGCGGAGGAAAAGAAACUAACAAGGAUUCCCCUAGUAACUGCGAGUGAAGCGGGAAAAGCUCAAAUUUAAAAUCUGGCGGUCUUUUGGCUGUCCGAGUUGUAAUCUAGAGAAGUGUUAUCCGCGCUGGACCGUGUACAAGUCUCCUGGAAUGGAGCAUCAUAGAGGGUGAGAAUCCCGUCUUUGACAUGGACUGCCAGGGCUUUGUGAUGCGCUCUCAAAGAGUCGAGUUGUUUGGGAAUGCAGCUCAAAAUGGGUGGUAAAUUCCAUCUAAAGCUAAAUAUUGGCGAGAGACCGAUAGCGAACAAGUACCGUGAGGGAAAGAUGAAAAGAACUUUGGAAAGAGAGUUAAACAGUACGUGAAAUUGCUGAAAGGGAAACGCUUGAAGUCAGUCGCGUUGUCCAGAGAUCAACCUUGCUUUUGCUUGGUGCACUUUCUGGUUCAACGGGUCAGCAUCAAUUUUGACUAUUGGAAAAAGGUUGAGGGAAUGUGGCAUCCUUGGAUGUGUUAUAGCCCUUGGUUGUAUACAAUGGUUGGGAUUGAGGAACUCAGCACGCCGCAAGGCCGGGUUUAACCACGUACGUGCUAGAUGCU